ensembl:ncRNA lncRNA:CR46090 long non-coding RNA:CR46090
AAUACCAGCAAGGGUAUCUUAACUUCAACUACAAAAUGUUCUUCGCCAUCCCAGUUUUGUUUUCAUUGUUUUUGUGUAUUUGCUUUGAUUUUUAGCUGUUUGCUCUUGGACCAACUACUUAUUUAUUCAUAAUUUGAACUCCCCCCCUUCCCACCAUUCCAGGCACCACCCCCUUCCAGACCCCACUCCAACACUCCACUCCACUCCCCUCCUCUUCGCCAACACUCCACGCACAAUUUGUGGGCAGCUGCUGCAUGUGGAAAAAUGGAAAACUGGAAAACGAGUUGCCAACACACACUU